rnacentral:rRNA from 1 species
AGAACGAACGCUGGCGGCAGGCCUAACACAUGCAAGUCGAACGAGCUGGGACCUUCGGGUCCCGAUGCUAGUGGCGCACGGGUGAGUAACACGUGGGAAUCUACCCAAUAGUACGGAAUAACUGAGGGAAACUUUGGCUAAUACCGUAUACGCCCUUCGGGGGAAAGAUUUAUCGCUAUUGGAUGAGCCCGCGUCUGAUUAGGUAGUUGGUGAGGUAACGGCUCACCAAGCCGACGAUCAGUAGCUGGUCUGAGAGGAUGAUCAGCCACACUGGGACUGAGACACGGCCCAGACUCCUACGGGAGGCAGCAGUGGGGAAUAUUGGACAAUGGGCGCAAGCCUGAUCCAGCCAUGCCGCGUGAGUGACGAAGGCCUUAGGGUUGUAAAGCUCUUUCGCCGCGACGAUGAUGACGGUAGCGGGAGAAGAAGCCCCGGCUAACUUCGUGCCAGCAGCCG